rnacentral:rRNA from 1 species
GGAAUCUUCCACAAUGGACGAAAGUCUGAUGGAGCAACGCCGCGUGAGUGAAGAAGGUUUUCGGAUCGUAAAGCUCUGUUGUUGGUGAAGAAGGAUAGAGGCAGUAACUGGUCUUUAUUUGACGGUAAUCAACUAGAAAGUCACGGCUAACUACGUGCCAG